GUUGCCGCGAGGCGGGGUCUGAAGGAAGCUGUAGGCAAAAUGCCGGCCUGACGAACAGGAAGCGCA
rfam:Rhizobium yanglingense strain CCBAT 01603 genomic scaffold C565, whole genome shotgun sequence.